UACGAAGGGGGCUAGCGUUGCUCGGAAUUACUGGGCGUAAAGCGCACGUAGGCGGCUUUCUAAGUCGGGGGUGAAAGCCUGUGGCUCAACCACAGAAUGGCCUCGAUACUGGGACGCUUGAGUAUGGUAGAGGUUGGUGGAACUGCGAGUGUAGAGGUGAAAUUCGUAGAUAUUCGCAAGAACACCGGUGGCGAAGGCGGCCAACUGGACCAUUACUGACGCUGAGGCGCGAAAGCGUGGGGAGCAGACAGG
rnacentral:rRNA from 1 species